rnacentral:rRNA from 1 species
UACGAAGGGGGCUAGCGUUGCUCGGAAUCACUGGGCGUAAAGGGUGCGUAGGCGGGUCUUUAAGUCAGAGGUGAAAUCCUGGAGCUCAACUCCAGAACUGCCUUUGAUACUGAAAGUCUUGAGUAUGGGAGAGGUGAGUGGAACUGCGAGUGUAGAGGUGAAAUUCGUAGAUAUUCGCAAGAACACCAGUGGCGAAGGCGGCUCACUGGCCCGAUACUGACGCUGAGGCACGAAAGCGUGGGGAGCAAACAGGG